CCUGUAUGAUGAUAAGCCAAUAGACUGACUUUUACCAUGGAGGUCUAAUUAGCUCUAACUGAUU
ensembl:snoRNA